UGCAUGUUCUGACAGUAUGAUGUGGGACUGAAAGCAUGUUUUAAUUUUCACACAGCUGAAGCCUUCGGGAGAAGCUUCAGAAGGUACAAAGGCACCUUUAGAUGAGAGGAUGUGCAUGCUGAGGUUUUCCUGUCUAUCAGGAAGCAGGAGGCAUUGCAGAAGAUGUAGCCGAGAGAUCCAUUGCAAGCAGGUAGCAGGUCUUUAAACAGAAAAGGUCAUAUUUUGAGAAGUGAAAUGAGAACCCAGCCCUCUUUGCAAAAAAUGUGGAUUACUGGCUUUGUGUUUAAACCAGUUAUUCUAAGAACGUGAACAGUCUUGAGAUCACUUGCUUAUCUUCCAACCCAAAACUGUACGAAAGGAACCUCCUCUCGGGGAACACAAAUACACACAGUGGGGCAACCCUAUCAAAACUAUGCAUCAACAACUCAAGAAGAACAAAUAACUUGGGUUACAGAAGAACUAAGAUUGCUGUUGCCUGUGCUUCAUUGAAGUAGAUGAAGUAUGACUUCCAAGAGAGCAGUCUUUCUGCCUACUCACCAUCAUCCAGAGGAGCUUCCUGGAUCCCUGCGCUUCCAUGAGAACGGAGGGGAGAUGCAGCUCCUACAGCCGCCAGGAGCCACCAGCUUUGAAGAAAGGGAUGAGAUGACCUCAUUAAGCAAUGCAAAAUUUACUCUUAAAAAUACAGACCAACAGAGCCGUAGAAACAACACAGUAUAUAUUUUUAAGUACCUUAGUCAAUUCAUUCAAAAACUGUACGUUGUCAGGAGGAGGGGAUGCAGUUUAAUAAUUUUAAUGGCCAACACUUAAUAAAAGAUUAAAGGUCUAAUACAUUAAAAAGGAAACUCUGCUGAUGGUAAU
ensembl:lncRNA